rnacentral:rRNA from 1 species
UCAAGCGCGAAAAGGGCGUUUGGUGGAUGCCUUGGCAGUAAGAGGCGAUGAAGGACGUGAUACUCUGCGAUAAGCUAUGGUAAGCCGAGAAUAGGCUCUGAACCAUAGAUCUCCGAAUGGGGAAACCCACCUGAUACUCGAUUAUUGAUAGCUUUAGUUAUGAAUAGUUGGGUAAAACAGGUACUUUUAACCUGAAUACAUAGGGUUUUAAGAGCAAACCCGGGGAACUGAAACAUCUAAGUACCCGGAGGAAAGGAAAUCAAUAGAUACUUCGUUAGUAGUGGCGAGCGAACGCGAACCAGCCGAGCCGAGAUUGUGACUAGAACAUCCUGGAAAGGAUGGCCAUAGUGGGUGACAGCCCCGUAUAGGAAGCAUGAUUGGACGUAUUAAGUAGGGCGGGACACGUGAAAUCCUGUUUGAAGAUCGGGGGACCACCCCCGAAGGCUAAGUACUCCUUACUGACCGAUAGCGAACCAGUACCGUGAGGGAAAGGUGAAAAGCACCCCGACGAGGGGAGUGAAACAGUACCUGAAACCGAACGCCUACAAUCAGUUGGAGGGGCCUUGAGCCCUGACAGCGUACCUUUUGUAUAAUGGGUCAUCGACUUGGUCUAUCUAGCAAGCUUAAGCCGUUAGGUGUAGGCGCAGCGAAAGCGAGUCUUAAUAGGGCGCAUGAGUUAGAUGGAUCAGACCCGAAACCGAGUGAUCUAGGCAUGGCCAGGCUGAAGAUAAGGUAACACUUAUUGGAGGGCCGAACCCACAUCCGUUGAAAAGGAUCGGGAUGAGCUGUGCCUAGGGGUGAAAGGCCAAUCAAACUCGGAGAUAGCUGGUUCUCCGCGAAAUCUAUUUAGGUAGAGCGUCAUCCGAAUACCCCGGGGGGUAGAGCACUGGAUGGGUAAUGGGGCCCCACAGGCUUACUGAUCCUAACCAAACUCCGAAUACCGGGGAGUAAUAUCUGGCAGACACACAGCGGAUGCUAACGUCCGUUGUGGAGAGGGAAACAACCCUGACCUCCAGCUAAGGCCCCUAAUUCAUGGCUAAGUGGGAAAGCAGGUGAGACGGCCAAAACAACCAGGAGGUUGGCUUAGAAGCAGCCAUCCUUUAAAGAUAGCGUAACAGCUCACUGGUCUAAAUAAGCUGUCUUGCGGCGAAGAUGUAACGGGGCUCAAGCCAUGAGCCGAAGCUGAGGACAUCGCAAGAUGUGGUAGCGGAGCGUAGUGUGACAUAGAUUCUAUCCUCUUUAGUCGUCUUUGACGGCCUUGGAGGAUUGAGAAUCUUUCUGUGAAGCCGGGCUGUAAGGCAUCCGGUGGAGAGAUCACUAGUGAGAAUGAUGACAUGAGUAGCGACAAAGAGUGUGAGAGACACUCUCGCCGAAAGUCCAAGGGUUCCUGCUUAAAGCUAAUCUGAGCAGGGUAAGCCGACCCCUAAGUCGAGGCCGAAAGGCGUAGACGAUGGGAACCAGGUUAAUAUUCCUGGGCCAGGAAGAUGUGACGGAUCGUGAAGGUUGUUCACCCUUAUUGGAUUGGGUGGGCCGCUAAUCGGUUCCUGGAAAUAGCCUUCCAUCAGAUCGUACCCUAAACCGACACAGGUGGACUGGUAGAGAAUACCAAGGCGCUUGAGAGAACUAUGUUGAAGGAACUCGGCAAAAUACCUCCGUAAGUUCGCGAGAAGGAGGCCCAGUUUCUACGCAAGUAUUGACUGGGGGCACAAACCAGGGGGUGGCGACUGUUUACUAAAAACACAGGGCUCUGCGAAGUCGCAAGACGACGUAUAGGGUCUGACGCCUGCCCGGUGCCGGAAGGUUAAGGAGAGGGGUGUAAGCUCUGAACCGAAGCCCCGGUAAACGGCGGCCGUAACUAUAACGGUCCUAAGGUAGCGAAAUUCCUUGUCGGGUAAGUUCCGACCUGCACGAAUGGCGUAACGACUUCCCCGCUGUCUCCAACAU